CAAUAGCGUAUAUUAAAGUUGUUGCGGUAAAAAAGCUCGUAGUUGGAUUUCUGUUGAGAGCGACCGGUCCAUACCAUGUAUGCGUAUCUGGCUUGCUCUCGGCAUCCUCUCGAUAGACGUUACUGCGCUUGAUUGCGUGGUGCGGAUCUCGGGACUUUUACUUUGAGGAAAUUAGAGUGUUCACGGCAGGCUUUCGCCAGAAUACAUUAGCAUGGAAUAAUACUAUAGGAUCUUGGUUCUAUUUUGUUGGUUUCUAGAAUUGAGAUAAUGAUUAAUAGGGACAAUUGGGGGCAUUCGUAUCAACACGUCAGAGGUGGAAUUCUUGGAUUGUGUUGCGACGAACUACUGCGAAAGCAUUUGCCAAGGAUGUUUUCAUUGAC
rnacentral:rRNA from 1 species